GCUCAGACUAGAGGGAAAGUGGCCUUAGAUUCAGACAGAACUUUGUUCAGUCUUUGGCCCGGCACAGCUGAGGUGUGUGACAAGGGGUACAUCUGUUACCUCUCUGAGUCUCAGUUUCUGCAUGAGUCCAACUAUAAUCAUAUCAGGAUCUCCUCCAUAGGGUUUCUGUGAUGAUUAGAUGAGAUAAUGGAUAUAAAGCGCCUGCAAGUUUUGGUGUCUGGUACACGUUAACGUAUCAAUCUAAGCUAGUGAUGAUACCCAUGCUGAUGAUGACAAUGAAAGUUAUUAAGCCAUCAUGGUGUAUUGCCUUGUUUAUCAUCUAGGGCGUGUACUUUACAUACCUAUGUGUGCAUACAUAUGCCAUUAUCCCUCUUCUCUCCAUUCUGGUCAUCUGCACCAUCUUAGACACCCUUUGAUCAAAAGGAAUGAUGAAACCAGAGUGACGUUUCUGUGACAUAUCAAAGGGAUCCAAUUAUCCCAUUUCACUGAUUGGAAUGGUAAAUCCUCCCAAUCCUGUACCUGUAGCCACCAUCAUUUUCCCAUUCAACAAACAUUUUCUGUGCAAAAUUUGUACAACCACUUCGGA
rnacentral:lncRNA from 1 species